GCCUCUGUGGCGCAAUUGGUUAGCGCAUACGACUUGUACGUACCAAAGGAACCCCGUUUUAAGAGUCAAAACUAACAGCCAACAGCUAAUCGUAAGGCUGCGGUUUCGACUACCGCCAGAGGUU
rnacentral:tRNA from 1 species